rnacentral:snRNA from 1 species
AUACUUACCUGGUGUCGAGGCCUCGUUGAUCACCGAGGACGAGCCUUCAGGGCAUUGUACUGCGCUCGCAUUGACCCCUUCCACUACCCCAAACUUGGGCAAAUGGGGCGUGCAAAUUGC